UACGAAGGGGGCUAGCGUUGCUCGGAAUCACUGGGCGUAAAGGGUGCGUAGGCGGGUCCUUAAGUCAGGGGGGAAAUCCUGGAGCUCAACUCCAGAACUGCCUUUGAUACUGAGGAUCUUGAGUUCGGGAGAGGAGCGUGGAAUUCCCAGUGUAGAGGUGAAAUUCGUAGAUAUUGGGAAGAACACCGGUGGCGAAGGCGGCGCUCUGGACCGAGACUGACGCUGAGGCGCGAAAGCGUGGGGAGCAAACAGG
rnacentral:rRNA from 1 species